rnacentral:rRNA from 1 species
UACAGAGGGGGCAAGCGUUAUUCGGAAUUAUUGGGCGUAAAGAGCUUGUAGGCGGUUUGUCGCGUCUGCUGUGAAAUUUCGGGGCUCAACCCCGAACUUGCAGUGGGUACGGGCAGACUAGAGUGUGGUAGGGGAGAUCGAAUUCCUGGUGUAGCGGUGAAAUGCGCAGAUAUCAGGAGGAACACCGGUGGCGAAGGCGGAUCUCUGGGCCAUUACUGACGCUGAGGAGCGAAAGCGUGGGGAGCGAACAGG